rnacentral:rRNA from 1 species
GAUGAACGCUGGCGGCGUGCCUAAUACAUGCAAGUCGAGCGAACAGACGAGGAGCUUGCUCCUCUGACGUUAGCGGCGGACGGGUGAGUAACACGUGGAUAACCUACCUAUAAGACUGGGAUAACUUCGGGAAACCGGAGCUAAUACCGGAUAAUAUAUUGAACCGCAUGGUUCAAUAGUGAAAGACGGUUUUGCUGUCACUUAUAGAUGGAUCCGCGUCGCAUUAGCUAGUUGGUAAGGUAACGGCUUACCAAGGCAACGAUGCGUAGCCGACCUGAGAGGGUGAUCCGCCACACUGGAACUGAGACACGGUCCAGACUCCUACGGGAGGCAGCAGUAGGGAAUCUUCCGCAAUGGGCGAAAGCCUGACGCAGCAACGCCGCGUGAGUGAUGAAGGUCUUCGGAUCGUAAAACUCUGUUAUUAGGGAAGAACAAAUGUGUAAGUAACUAUGCACGUCUUGACGGUACCUAAUCAGAAAGCCACGGCUAACUACGUG